GUUUUGUAAAUGGUAUCCGAGGCGUAUCGUAGGUGUAACCCUUGGUUGGUUCAGGUGGCAAAUAGGUGUUGCGCCUUGUCCCUGGUGGUACAACGAAGGGGAUCUCCCAGUGAAGUAUAGGAAAAGUAGAACAAAAUUAACUGUGUAAUAGAUGGAGGAAGAAGAAGCUAAUUAUGAUUGCAAAGAUUAUUGUUGUUUCUUCAAAGAUAUCCUCCUACUUCGUCCACCUACUCCUAUUUACACAACAGCACACUGAAUCAUGGCGCAGCCUUUAAUGGCAGUGCAUUUCCUCUUCUCGGCGAAACGCGUGUCAGCUGCAGGCACAAAACACAGCACGUGAUGCGAAUCUAAUGAACUGUUGGCGUGUUGCAAAUUAGUCUAUACUUGGAUUUGGCAACAAGUCGACAGAUGUAUAAUGCGACAUUCGCGGGCGUUGUUUUCUUUAAUUAAUGGCUUAAGAGAUUACGAAAACUGACAUUUUAGGACACAUGUCCUGUAUAAGUGGUAGGAAUUAGAUUUUUAUAAGUUCAUUGAAUGCACUUGUAUGAUGUCGAUUUCUAACUAAGCUAUUGCAGAUUUAGCCUAACGAGUCACAUUUGUUGCAAAAAAUAUACAUAGUUCUAAUUUGAUAAAAGUAAAUUGAAUUUGUAACACAGGUUAAAUUACUUUUUUAAAGAUUCAGACCAUUUUUGUAACAUCCUGUAUGCAAUAUUUUCAUAUUGUAUUAUGCGACUGACAUGUUGCUAUAACAAUGGACAACUAAUGCUUAUUUACUCAUUAAAAAAAUCAUAAAACAGAAGAUCACAAUCACUAUAAGCGAAGAAUAAUUAAAGAGACGAUAAUUGAGUAUAACUUAUUGCAAUUAUGAGGAAGAAGAAAUGAUCUAAUUAUAGGAAUUAAAUACCGAGUUAAUGUUCAGUUAUUUACUAAAAAAAUUAUAAAAGAAGAGAUUAAUGAUAUUAUAAGUAAAUACAGUGAUCGAAAAGACUUUUGUUUGGAAUGAAAAGAAAGAAGAAAUGGGUCAUUUAUAGAUUAGGAAUAGAAUAUCGGAAAAGUAAAAUUAAAUCAUUAGCAACGAGAAGCAAUUGAGAAGAGAAUAAUAGGAGAAGUGCACAAAGAGCGACGUAAUUGCUCGAGGAAUACUGUAUUUUACUGUGCGUAUGUGUCGCUUAUUCGCAGGGAUUUCACAACGAUUUAAUUACACGUCUUCCGCCUCAUUUCUACUUGAUCUUCUGGCUGUGAUGACCCCGGUACAAUGAAUGCGUGCGAGACUGUUUCCUUCGGACUCGACUCGGUUCCUGAUUGCUAAAUUAAUAUGCACCAGGUCUAUCUUAUUAUAGAAAUAACACAAAUCGCUCCACAAUCUCUUCUAAAAAUAACAGUAGGAAAUUGAGUAGCAUUCCAAGAAGAGUCCAUAUCUUAAAAUGCUUCAUUAACUGAAAUCAACUGUCUUAUUAUGUUGCAACAAACAUAACCUGAGAUGAAACGUCCCGUAAUUCUUCAGGUGGAAAAGAUUCUAUCAGCGAUGCAAUUAACUGCUCAUUUACUGUUCGAUUACGUGCAUCGACGUUUCACCUGGCACGUGCAACGCUGCCCCAUGGAAAUAUCAAUCAGUUGAAGAGCUCUGCUGUUGAAUGUACCAUGAGAUCUUAGUUCAGUGCACUAUAGAAUCCAUUUCUGAUUAAUGUUUAAGGAAUACUUGCUAUGAAAGGCAAAGAGAAUAAUGAAUGUAACAAAAGAAACUUAUUGAGAAAACCAAUUUUUAACACCUUAGUGAAUGUCAAAAGAAGAGAAGAAAUAUCUGAUGUCAAAGGUAAAGAAAGAGAAUAAUGAAUAUAAGGAAACAGAUUUAUUAUGGAAACUUUUAAUACCUUAGUCCAUUUAUAAAAAGAACAAGAAAUAGAUAACAAUUGAUAUGAAAAGCGAAGAAGAAAUAUCCAAACCCAACAUAAAUCAAUUUUUAACACCUUUGCUCAUUAUUAAAGAGGAUAAAAAGAUGGGAGACUAUGAAAGAUGAAGAAAGAGAAUUUUGUAGAAAAUUAUUGAAAUGCAAUUAAAUGUUUCAAUGGAUUCUUCUCUUCUCUUCUUCUCUGAGAUUGUAGAAUAUCCUUGUAGAAUGAAAUAUUGUAUUUUUACUAGUAAUGGACUUAAUGAUGACGACCUUCACUCUAGAAUGAGGAAGAAAUUAAUUGUAAAGUAGCAAGAAGUAUUUCUUCCAUUUGAAGACUGAAUUAUGAAAUUUCUUCUGGAGUGGAGCCAAUCAAAAAGCUGAAGAAACGAGGAAAUGCCGGGAAUAUUGCAAAAUAAUUCACAAUCUUGCGAAGAAUGUUAAACAACCUUCUCUCACCAGUAUCGUCGCUCAUUUAAAUUUGCCAACUAAAGAAAGAGCUGGCUUGCACCAUUGUCUCAAGCAAGUUAUUGUUUAAUGUUCAUUGUCACAGCCAAAAUGACGCAAGUCUUUUUUAAAUCAAGGAUUGCAAGUACUAUGUAAAUUGCAUGAAACAUACAGCUGGAAGUAGAUUUAACAAAGUUGUGAAAAAGAAAUCUACAGAAAAAUACUGAAAGAAGCAAUUUCAAAAAUAUAAAACUUCUAAUAAUUGUUUAAUUAAACAUUCAAUCUUAUAUUUGUUAGGAAAUCAGUAUAGCAAUAGUCUUCUUCAUUUCAAUAAUAGUUACCACAUCACUUUUCUCUUACAAGAUAGAGGAUAUGAGGAAACAAUCAAGUAGAGCAUAUAAAAAUUUUCACAGAUCAUAUGUUCCUUAAAGGAAGUUGUUGCCAUAACUACCGACAAUAAAGAUUCUUUCAUUAUCCAUGAAUCAAUCAAGACUCUCAUAUCUAAGGUUUAUGGAUCUUGUUGCAUAAAACAGCCACGAUCUUAGAUGCUUGGUGUGAAAGAGUUUCCUGAAUUUCGAUAGGAGUAAAUUUAUCUCAAAGAAGAAAAUAAGAUGUAGAUAUGAUAUACUCAAAGAAUAGAGCAUUGUGACAUAAAGUAUCCGUGAAAUUAACAAUAAUUUGAAUUCUAUUAGUCACGCAAUGUUGCACUUUCUAUCACACUUCAUUAGAUCAUGUAAUUAUAAUACAAUUUAGGAUCAAAUUAUCAUA